AAAACAAACGUGAAUUACUAA
rnacentral:snRNA from 1 species